GGGCGAAAGCCUGACGCAGCGAGCCGCGUGGGGGAUGAAGGUCUUCGGAUUNUAAACCCCUUUCGGGAGGGAAGAUCNGACGGGCAACCGUUCGGACGGUACCUCCAGAAGCAGCCACGGCUAACUUCGUGCCAGCAGCCGCGGUAAUACGAAGGUGGCAAGCGUUGUUCGGAUUUACUGGGCGUACAGGGAGCGUAGGC
rnacentral:rRNA from 1 species